AGUGAACGCUGGCGGUAGGCCUAACACAUGCAAGUCGAACGGCAGCACAGUAAGAGCUUGCUCUUACGGGUGGCGAGUGGCGGACGGGUGAGGAAUACAUCGGAAUCUACUUUUUCGUGGGGGAUAACGUAGGGAAACUUACGCUAAUACCGCAUACGACCUACGGGUGAAAGCAGGGGAUCUUCGGACCUUGCGCGAUUGAAUGAGCCGAUGUCGGAUUAGCUAGUUGGCGGGGUAAAGGCCCACCAAGGCGACGAUCCGUAGCUGGUCUGAGAGGAUGAUCAGCCACCCUGGAACUGAGACACGGUCCAGACUCCUACGGGCGGCAGCAGUGGGGAAUAUUGGACAAUGGGCGCAAGCCUGAUCCAGCCAUACCGCGUGGGUGAAGAAGGCCUUCGGGUUGUAAAGCCCUUUUGUUGGGAAAGAAAAGCAGCAGGUUAAUACCCCGCUGUUCUGACGGUACCCAAAGAAUAAGCACCGGCUAACUUCGUG
rnacentral:rRNA from 1 species